rnacentral:rRNA from 1 species
AUGAACGCUGGCGGCGUGCCUAAUACAUGCAAGUCGAGCGCACAGACGAGGAGCUUGCUCCUCUGACGUUAGCGGCGGACGGGUGAGUAACACGUGGAUAACCUACCUAUAAGACUGGGAUAACUUCGGGAAACCGGAGCUAAUACCGGAUAAUAUAUUGAACCGCAUGGUUCAAUAGUGAAAGACGGCUUUGCUGUCACUUAUAGAUGGAUCCGCGCCGCAUUAGCUAGUUGGUAAGGUAACGGCUUACCAAGGCAACGAUGCGUAGCCGACCUGAGAGGGUGAUCGGCCACACUGGAACUGAGACACGGUCCAGACUCCUACGGGAGGCAGCAGUAGGGAAUCUUCCGCAAUGGGCGAAAGCCUGACGGAGCAACGCCGCGUGAGUGAUGAAGGUCUUCGGAUCGUAAAACUCUGUUAUUAGGGAAGAACAAAUGUGUAAGUAACUAUGCACGUCUUGACGGUACCUAAUCAGAAAGCCACGGCUAACUACGUG